rnacentral:rRNA from 1 species
AGAUUGAACGCUAGCGGGAUGCUUUACACAUGCAAGUCGAACGGCAGCGCGGACUUCGGUCUGGCGGCGAGUGGCGAACGGGUGAGUAAUAUAUCGGAACGUGCCCAGUAGCGGGGGAUAACUACGCGAAAGCGUGGCUAAUACCGCAUACGCCCGUACGGGGGAAAGGGGGGGAUUCUUCGGAACCUCUCACUAUUGGAGCGGCCGAUAUCAGAUUAGCUAGUUGGUGAGGUAAAGGCUACACCAAGGCCGCGAUCGUGUGGCUUGGGUUUGAGGACGGACGACCAGGCCCACACGUGGGACUGAGACCGACCGGCCCCAGACCUUCCCGUACGGGGAGCAGCGAGGUGGGGUAAUUUGGGACUAAGUCGGGGGAAACCCUGAUCCGAGCCACGUCCCGGCGUUGUACGGCGUAUACGGACGGUCCGUUUCGGGUUAG